rnacentral:lncRNA from 1 species
CACCUUUAUUAAUUAGUCCUUUGUUGUCGUUAGGUAUAAAAUGCAAUCAGCUGAUUGUUGAUUUUCUGUGCAAAUCUUAAUGAGGUCAAGGUGAAUUCCGAGUAUUUUCUGAUCGGGUAAAGUCCGAGAAACUCGAAAAAAAGUAAAUAAACAAGAUGGAGGAAAAUAAAUCGUUAUAUAUAUUUCUGUCGCCAAAUUCUUUCGCCAAUGACGAAUUUUAAACGCCACAAUUAUUAUUUUUUCGCAAAUUGCGAAAAUGGCGACCGCCAGCGGAAACCCUGUUUA